UGCAUGAUGAGGGAAUGGGAAGCAAGAAGGAAGGAAACCAGUCUUGAUAUAUGGAGGGGAUAAAGAAAAAUUCACAUCAACAUCUUGAACUCCACAGUUGACAGCGUAACAGAGAAAGACUUACAUCAAUUAAUUAAUUCUAACAGAAAAUGGAGAGAAGGGCAACCACAUUGUCAUGGAGAACACCACCUCCACCUGCCUCCCUGCAUCUGUCUUCUGGAACCAAGUGGGAAGAAUUAAACUCCUUGCUUUGUGAGAAAGUCCUUGUCUUCUCCUGGCAUGGAGGGAUAAAAGCACCUCCUUUCGAGCCUGGCAAACCUGGAGCUGUGAGCGCCUAGGGGAGAGGGUAUCUGAAAUGAGCGCCGAGAUUCCUUUACCUCCACUCCACCACCAGCCAGAGCAGAGAUAUCCAUGGAGAGAUGGAGCCAUUUCUUCACUCUACCGGGGCCAAAGGAUGUGGAGCCUCUGGGUGGAUUUUCUAGGUGUUUAAGAGAAGAGCCUUCAAUCUGGUCACUCUCUGUUCAGUUUGUUUAACUUAGAACCUUUAAGAAAUGAGCAAAAAAAAAGAAGGGGUAUGUGUAUAUGUUGGAGAAGGGAAUGGCAACCCACUCCAGUAUUCUUGCCUGGAGAAUUCCACGGACAGGGGAGCCUUGGGGGGCUAUAGUCCAUGGGGUUGCUGAGAGUCGGACACGACUGAGCAACUAACACACACACAUAUGUAUAUGUAUAAUGGAUUCAGUUCGUGGUACAGUAGAAACUUACACCACAUUGUAAAGCAGCUAUACUCCAAUUAAUUAAAAAAAAAGAGACGAGCCACCAGUAAGAAAAGGGCCCCAUGUUAAAUUCUGGACUUGGGUUUUUUCACGACUGGGCCCUCUGACAUCUCUGGGCACACCCACCAGCUCUGGCAGUUGUCUGGUGUCUGCCAGUACCCCUCAGUCAUCCUAGUUCCUAUAGGUAUCUUAACUGAUUGGUGCUUCAUUAGUACAUUUCUCUCUGGAUCUUAUAAACAUGUGAGUUUAUAAUCCCUAUUAAAGACACUGUAUGGUUCCCUUUCCCUCCCCCUUUAUUAAUAUUUGAUAUUGAUUUAAAAUAUAAA
rnacentral:lncRNA from 1 species